rnacentral:rRNA from 1 species
CCUACGGGAGGCUGCAGUGAGGAAUAUUGGUCAAUGGGCGCGAGCAUGACCCAGCCAAGUAGCGUGAAGGAUGACUGCCCUACGGGUUGUAAACUUCUUUUAUAAAGGAGUAAAGUGAGGCACGUGUGCCUUUUUGUAUGUACUUUAUGAAUAAGGAUCGGCUAACUCCGUGCCAGCAGCCGCGGUAUUACGGAGGAUCCGAGCGUUAUCCGGAUAUAUUGGGUUUAAAGGGAGCGUAGAUGGGUUGUUAAGUCAGUUGUGAAAGUUUGCGGCUCAACCGUAAAAUUGCAAUUGAUACUGGCAGUCUUGAGUACAGUUGAGGUAGGCGGAAUUCGUGGUGUAGCGGUGAAAUGCUUAGAUAUCACGAAGAACUCCGAUUGCGAAGGCAGCUUACUAAACUGCCACUGACAUUGAUGCUCGAAAGUGUGGGUAUCAAACAGGAUUAGAUACCCGAGUAGUC